GUUUUAGUAAUUUAAAAAAAAAAUAUUGAUCUUGUAAAUCAAAAAUAAAAUAAAUUUUUCUAAAACU
rnacentral:tRNA from 1 species